rnacentral:rRNA from 1 species
GAUGAACGCUGGCGGCGUGCCUAAUACAUGCAAGUCGAGCGAACAGACGAGGAGCUUGCUCCUCUGACGUUAGCGGCGGACGGGUGAGUAACACGUGGAUAACCUACUUAUAAGACUGGGAUAACUUCGGGAAACCGGAGCUAAUACCGGAUAACAUGUUGAACCGCAUGGUUCAACAGUGAAAGACGGUCUUGCUGUCACUUAUAGAUGGAUCCGCGCCGCAUUAGCUAGUUGGUAAGGUAACGGCUUACCAAGGCAACGAUGCGUAGCCGACCUGAGAGGGUGAUCGGCCACACUGGAACUGAGACACGGUCCAGACUCCUACGGGAGGCAGCAGUAGGGAAUCUUCCGCAAUGGGCGAAAGCCUGACGGAGCAACGCCGCGUGAGUGAAGAAGGUCUUCGGAUCGUAAAACUCUGUUAUUAGGGAAGAACAAAUGUGUAAGUAACUAUGCACGUCUUGACGGUACCUAAUCAGAAAGCCACGGCUAACUACGUG